GACGAACGCUGGCGGCGUGCCUAAUACAUGCAAGUCGAGCGGACUUUAAAAGCUUGCUUUUUAAGUUAGCGGCGGACGGGUGAGUAACACGUGGGCAACCUGCCUGUAAGACUGGGAUAACUUCGGGAAACCGGAGCUAAUACCGGAUAAUCCUUUUCUACUCAUGUAGAAAAGCUGAAAGACGGUUUACGCUGUCACUUACAGAUGGGCCCGCGGCGCAUUAGCUAGUUGGUGAGGUAACGGCUCACCAAGGCGACGAUGCGUAGCCGACCUGAGAGGGUGAUCGGCCACACUGGGACUGAGACACGGCCCAGACUCCUACGGGAGGCAGCAGUAGGGAAUCUUCCGCAAUGGACGAAAGUCUGACGGAGCAACGCCGCGUGAGUGAUGAAGGUUUUCGGAUCGUAAAACUCUGUUGUUAGGGAAGAACAAGUACGAGAGUAACUGCUCGUACCUUGACGGUACCUAACCAGAAAGCCACGGCUAACUACGUG
rnacentral:rRNA from 1 species